rnacentral:rRNA from 1 species
UACGUAGGUGACCAGCGUUGUCCGGAUUUACUGGGCGUAAAGAGCGCGCAGGCGGUCGUUCAAGUCGAGUGUGAAAGCCCCCGGCUCAACUGGGGAGGGUCACUCGAUACUGAUCGACUUGAAGGCAGGAGAGGGAAGCGGAAUUCCCGGUGUAGUGGUGAAAUGCGCAGAUAUCAGGAGGAACACCGGUGGCGAAGGCGGCUACCUGGACAGAAACUGACGCUGAGGCGCGAAAGCUAGGGGAGCAAACGGG